AUUGAACGCUGGCGGCAGGCCUAACACAUGCAAGUCGAGCGGAGCGGCGGACGGGUGAGUCAUGCUUAGGUAUAUGCCUGGUAGUGGGGGAUAACGUCCGGACACGGGCGCUAAUACCGCAUACUAUCAGAUGAGCCUAGGUCGGAUUAGCUUGUUGGUGGGGUAAAGGCCUACCAAGGUGACGACCCGUAACUGUGCUGAGAGGAUGAUCAGUCACACUGGAACUGAGACACGGUCCAGACUCCUACGGGAGGCAGCAGUGGGGAAUAUUGGACAAUUGGCGAAAGCCUGAUCCAGCCAUGCCGCGUGUGUGAAGAAGGUCUUCGGAUUGUAAAGCACGUUAAGUUGGGAGGCGUUACCCGCAGAAGAAGCACCGGCUAACUCCGUGCCAGCCGCCGCGGUAAUAC
rnacentral:rRNA from 1 species